rnacentral:rRNA from 1 species
UGCGUAGGCGGACUCAUAAGUCAGUGGUGAAAUCUUGCAGCUUAACUGUAAAACUGCCAUUGAUACUGUUAGUCUUGAAUUUAGUUGAGGUAGGCGGAAUGUAUUGUGUAGCGGUGAAAUGCAUAGAUAUAAUACAGAACACCGAUUGCGAAGGCAGCUUACUAAGCUAUAAUUGACGCUGAUGCACGAAAGCGUGGGGAGCGAACAGGAUUAGAUACCCUGGUAGUCC